rnacentral:misc_RNA from 1 species
AUGGAGAGGAGCUACACAAGCCACACCACUCCUGAUCUCUGUCAACCUUUCUGGCCAGUUUAGAUGAAAUGACUGGGCAUACAGAGCCUGGCCCCUUCUUCACCUCUUUUUCCUUUUGGGAGCCCAGCCUCUCUCCAUAGUGCAGAUGUUGCUAGGCUGUGGGUGCACUGCAAGAGCAGGUUCCAUAGGUGGGAGGCUAGUCUUCAUCUAGCAGUGUUAAAGAUGGGAGGCUGGGAGCAGG